rnacentral:rRNA from 1 species
UACGGAGGUUCCUAGCGUUGUUCGGAAUUACUGGGCGUAAAGGGAGCGCAGGCGGGCGAUCCAGUCUAAAGUGGAAUCCCGGGGCUUAACCCCGGAAGUGCUUUGGAUACUAGUCGUCUUGAGUUCGUGAGAGGAAGGCGGAAUUCAGGGUGUAGCGGUGAAAUGCUUAGAUAUCCUGAGGAACACCGGUGGCGAAAGCGGCCUUCUGGCACGAUACUGACGCUCAUGCUCGAAAGCGUGGGGAGCGAACGGGAUUAGAUACCCCGGUAGUCCACGCCGUAAACGUUGUGCACUAGGUGUGGGAGGUAUCGACCCCUUCCGUGCCGCAGUUAACGCAUUAAGUGCACCGCCUGGGGAGUACGGUCGCAAGACUGAA